ACGACGCUGGCGGCGUGCCUAACACAUGCAAGUCGAACGAGGUCCAAGGAAGCUUGCUUCCUGAAGACCUAGUGGCGAACGGGUGAGUAACACGUGAGAAACCUGCCUCGGAGUGGGGAAUAACUCGGGGAAACUCGAGCUAAUACCGCAUACCUUCACAUGAUCGCAUGGUCGAGUGAAGAAAGAAUUUCGCUCUGAGAGGGUCUCGCGGCCUAUCAGCUUGUUGGUGGGGUAACGGCCUACCAAGGCAACGACGGGUAGCUGGUUUGAGAGAACGAUCAGCCACACUGGGACUGAGACACGGCCCAGACUCCUACGGGAGGCAGCAGUGGGGAAUCUUGCGCAAUGGGCGAAAGCCUGACGCAGCAACGCCGCGUGCGGGAUGACGGCCUUCGUGGUUGUAAACCGCUUUCAGCAGGGACGAAAAUGACGGUACCUGCAGAAGAAGCCCCGGCUAACUACGUG
rnacentral:rRNA from 1 species